UACGUAGGGGGCAAGCGUUGUCCGGAAUCAUUGGGCGUAAAGCGCACGUAGGCGGCUUACUAAGUCAGGGGUGAAAUCCUGGAGCUCAACUCCAGAACUGCCUUUGAUACUGGUGAGCUUGAGUCCGGAAGAGGUGAGUGGAACUGCGAGUGUAGAGGUGAAAUUCGUAGAUAUUCGCAAGAACACCAGUGGCGAAGGCGGCUCACUGGUCCGGUACUGACGCUGAGGUGCGAAAGCGUGGGGAGCAAACAGGG
rnacentral:rRNA from 1 species